rnacentral:rRNA from 1 species
UACGAAGGGGGCUAGCGUUGCUCGGAAUCACUGGGCGUAAAGCGCACGUAGGCGGCUUGUUAAGUCAGGGGUGAAAUCCUGGAGCUCAACUCCAGAACUGCCUUUGAUACUGGCGAGCUUGAGUCCGGGAGAGGUGAGUGGAACUGCGAGUGUAGAGGUGAAAUUCGUAGAUAUUCGCAAGAACACCAGUGGCGAAGGCGGCUCACUGGCCCGGUACUGACGCUGAGGUGCGAAAGCGUGGGGAGCAAACAGG